CAUGGCUCAGAUUGAACGCUGGCGGCAGGCCUAACACAUGCAAGUCGAGCGGAUGAAGGGAGCUUGCUCCUGGAUUCAGCGGCGGACGGGUGAGUAAUGCCUAGGAAUCUGCCUGGUAGUGGGGGAUAACGUCCGGAAACGGGCGCUAAUACCGCAUACGUCCUGAGGGAGAAAGUGGGGGAUCUUCGGACCUCACGCUAUCAGAUGAGCCUAGGUCGGAUUAGCUAGUUGGUGGGGUAAAGGCCUACCAAGGCGACGAUCCGUAACUGGUCUGAGAGGAUGAUCAGUCACACUGGAACUGAGACACGGUCCAGACUCCUACGGGAGGCAGCAGUGGGGAAUAUUGGACAAUGGGCGAAAGCCUGAUCCAGCCAUGCCGCGUGUGUGAAGAAGGUCUUCGGAUUGUAAAGCACUUUAAGUUGGGAGGAAGGGCAGUAAGUUAAUACCUUGCUGUUAGACGUACCAACAGAAUAAGCACCGGC
rnacentral:rRNA from 1 species